UACGGAGGGGGCUAGCGUUGUUCGGAUUUACUGGGCGUAAAGCGCACGUAGGCGGCGUAUCAAGUCAGAGGUGAAAGGCCUGGGCUCAACCUAGGAACGGCCUUUGAUACUGGUAUGCUUGAGUUCGGAAGAGGGUAGUGGAAUUCCAGGUGUAGAGGUGAAAUUCGUAGAUGUAGUUAGGAAGAACCACGGUGGCGAAGGCGGCUACCUGGUCCGAUACUGACGCUGAGGUGCGAAAGCGUGGGGGAGCGAACAGGAUUAGAUACCCGGGUAGUCC
rnacentral:rRNA from 1 species